CAGCUCCAAUAGCGUAUAUUAAAAUUGUUGCAGUUAAAAAGCUCGUAGUUGAAUUUCUGCUGCAUUGCCGUUGCUCCCUUACGAGCUCUGGCAUUGUGGCUUAUUUCGGAUUUGCUUGCAUUUCCGGAUGUUUACUUUGAGAAAAUUAGAGUGCUCAAAGCAGGCUUUUGCCUUGAAUAGUUUAGCAUGGAAUAAUAAAGUAGGACUUUGGUUCUAUUUUGUUGGUUUUAGGUACCAAAGUAAUGGUUAAUAGGAACAGUUGGGGGCAUUCGUAUUUAACUGUCAGAGGUGAAAUUCUUAGAUUUGUUAAAGACGAACUACUGCGAAAGCAUUUGCCAAGGAUGUUUUCAUUAAUCAAGAACGAAAGUUAGGGGAUCGAAGAUGAU
rnacentral:rRNA from 1 species